rnacentral:rRNA from 1 species
GACGGACGCUGGCGGCGUGCCUAAUACAUGCAAGUCGAACGAGAGCGACCGGUGCUUGCACUGGUCAAUCUAGUGGCGAACGGGUGAGUAACACGUGGGUAACCUGCUCAUCAGAGGGGGAUAACAUCCGGAAACGGAUGCUAAAACCGCAUAGGUCUUCGAGCCGCAUGGCUUGAAGAGGAAAAGAGGCGCAAGCUUCUGCUGAUGGAUGGACCCGCGGUGCAUUAGCUAGUUGGUGAGGUAACGGCUCACCAAGGCCGUGAUGCAUAGCCGACCUGAGAGGGUGAUCGGCCACAUUGGGACUGAGACACGGCCCAAACUCCUACGGGAGGCAGCAGUAGGGAAUCUUCCGCAAAGGACGCAAGUCUGACGGAGCAACGCCGCGUGAGUGAAGAAGGUUUUCGGAUCGUAAAACUCUGUUGUUAGAGAAGAACAAGUGCUAGAGUAACUGUUAGCGCCUUGACGGUAUCUAACCAGAAAGCCACGGCUAACUACGUG